GUCCUACGGGAGGCAGCAGUGAGGAAUAUUGCGCAAUGGGGGAAACCCUGACGCAGCGACGCCGCGUGGAUGAUGAAGGCCUUCGGGUCGUAAAAUCCUGUCAGGUGGAAAGAAAUGCAUGGUGGUUAAUACCCAUCAUGUUUGACGGUACCACCGAAGGAAGCACCGGCUAACUCCGUGCCAGCAGCCGCGGUAAUACGGAGGGUGCAAGCGUUGUUCGGAAUUACUGGGCGUAAAGCGCGCGCAGGCGGUUUGCUAAGUCAGAUGUGAAAGCCCAUGGCUCAACCAUGGACGGGCAUUUGAAACUGGCAAGCUUGAGUAGUGGAGGGGGUGGUGGAAUUCCCGGUGUAGAGGUGAAAUUCGUAGAUAUCGGGAGGAAUACCGGUGGCGAAGGCGACCACCUGGCCACAUACUGACGCUGAGGCGCGAAAGCGUGGGGAGCAAACAGGAUUAGAUACCCUGGUAGUCU
rnacentral:rRNA from 1 species